rnacentral:rRNA from 1 species
CCUACGGGAGGCAGCAGUGGGGAAUAGUGCGCAAUGGGCGAAAGCCUGACGCAGCGACGCCGCGUGAGGGAUGAAGGUCUUCGGAUCGUAAACCUCUGUCAGCAGGGAAGAACGGUCACGGGGCUAAUCAGCAGUGAAUUGACGGUACCUGCAAAGGAAGAACCGGCUAACGCCGUGCCAGCAGCCGCGGUAAUACGGAGGGUGCGAGCGUUAAUCGGAAUUCCGGGGCGUAAAGCGCGCGUAGGCGGUAUGUCAAGUCAAGGGUGAACUCCCCGCGCUCAACGUGGGAACUGCCUUUGAAACUGGCAAACUGGAGUGUGUGAGAGGAUAG